rnacentral:rRNA from 1 species
GAGACGGUUCUCUAAGAGGCCCGUCAUCGAAAUGGGUACAAUUUAAAUCCUUUAACGAGGAUCUAUUGGAGGGCAAGUCUGGUGCCAGCAGCCGCGGUAAUUCCAGCUCCAAAAGCGUAUAUUAAAGUUGUUGCGGUUAAAAAGCUCGUAGUUGGAUCUGCGCCUUAGGUUGGUGGUCCCCCAAAAGGGUGGUACUGCCGUACCUGGGCUAUUGGUCUGGUUUUCCCUUGGUGCGCUUCACCGUGUGCUCUGGGUGACUGGAACGUUUACUUUGAAAAAAUUAGAGUGCUCAAGGCAGGCAGUUUGCCUGAAUAGUGGUGCAUGGAAUAAUAGAAUAGGACUUCGGUUCUAUUUUGUUGGUUUUCGGAACUCGAGGUAAUGAUUAAGAGGGACAGACGGGGGCAUUCGUAUUGCGACGUUAGAGGUGAAAUUCUUGGAUCGUCGCAAGACGCACAACUGCGAAAGCAUUUGCCAA